GAUGAACGCUGGCGGUCUGCUUAACACAUGCAAGUCGAACGGGCUCUUCGGAGCUAGUGGCGGACGGGUGAGUAACACGUGAGAAUCUGCCCUUAGGUUGGGGAUAACGACUGGAAACGGUCGCUAAUACCCGAUGUGCCGAGAGGUGAAAGUUUUAUCGCCUGAGGAUGAGCUCGCGUCUGAUUAGCUAGUUGGUAGUGUAAUGGACUACCAAGGCGACGAUCAGUAGCUGGUCUGAGAGGAUGAUCAGCCACACUGGGACUGAGACACGGCCCAGACUCCUACGGGAGGCAGCAGUGGGGAAUUUUCCGCAAUGGGCGAAAGCCUGACGGAGCAAGACCGCGUGAGGGAGGAAGGCCUACUGGUUGUAAACCUCUUUUGAUAGGGAAGAACACAAUGACGGUACCUAUCGAAUCAGCAUCGGCUAACUCCGUGCCAGCAGCCGCGGUAAU
rnacentral:rRNA from 1 species